rnacentral:rRNA from 1 species
CAGCCGCCGCGGGAAUACGGAGGGGGCUAGCGUUGUUCGGAAUUACUGGGCGUAAAGCGCACGUAGGCGGCUUGGUAAGUUAGAGGUGAAAGCCCGGAGCUCAACUCCGGAAUUGCCUUUAAGACUGCCGAGCUAGUAGGUGAGAGAGGUAAGUGGAAUUCCGAGUGUAGAGGUGAAAUUCGUAGAUAUUCGGAAGAACACCAGUGGCGAAGGCGGCUUACUGGCUCAAUCUGGACGCUGAGGCACGAAAGCGUGGGGAGCAAACAGGAUUAGAUACCCCAGUAGUCCCUGUCUCUUAUAC